GAAACAGUUGCUAAGACUGGAUAGGAAAUUAAAAGGCAUCUUUUAAUUUUUAAAAGACCUUUUUCGGAAGGUAUGCUUAAAGAGGGGCUUGCGCCACAUUAGUUAGUUGGUAAGGUAAAGGCUUACCAAGACGAUGAUGUGUAGCUGGACUGAGAGGUUGAACAGCCACAUUGGGACUGAGACACGGCCCAAACUCCUACGGGAGGCAGCAGUAAGGAAUUUUUGGCAAUGGAGGAAACUCUGACCGAGCGACGCCGCGUGAACAAUGAAGUACUUCGGUAUGUAAAGUUCUUUUAUUGAAAAAGAAAAAAUAGUGGAAAAACUAUCUUGACAUUAUUCAAUGAAUAAGCCCCGGCUAAUUAUGUGCCAGCAGCCGCGGUAAUACAUAAGGGGCGAGCGUUAUCCGGAAUUAUUGGGCGUAAAGGGUGCGUAGGCGGUUUGAUAAGUCUAUAGUUUAAUUGCAGUGCUUAACGCUGUACCGCUAUAGAAACUGUCUGACUAGAGUUAGAUAGAGGCAAGCGGAAUUCCAUGUGUAGCGGUAAAAUGCGUAAAUAUAUGGAGGAACACCAGAGGCGUAGGCGGCUUGCUGGGUCUUAACUGACGCUGAGGCACGAAAGCGUGGGGAGCAAACAGGAUUAUAUACCCUGGUAGUCCACGCCGUAAACGAUGAGUACUAAGUGUCGGGUUUUGGCUCGGUACUGAAGUUAACACAUUAAGUACUCCGCCUGAGUAGUACGUACGCAAGUAUGAAACUUAAAGGAAUUGACGGGACCCCGCACAAGCGGUGGAUCAUGUUGUUUAAUUCGAAGAUACACGAAAAACCUUACCAGGUCUUGACAUAAUUUUGCGACAUUAUAGAAAUAUAAUGAAGGUUAUCAGAAUUACAGGUGGUGCAUGGUUGUCGUCAGCUCGUGUCGUGAGAUGUUAGGUUAAGUCCUAAAACGAGCGCAACCCUUGUCGUUAGUUGCGACCACAUAAUGGUGAGCACUUUAGCGAGACUGCCAAUGAAAAAUUGGAGGAAGGUGAGGAUUACGUCAAAUCAUCAUGCCCCUUAUGAUCUGGGCUACAAACGUGAUACAAUGGCUUUUACAAAGAGUAGCUACAACGUGAGUUUUUAGCCAAUCUCAAAAAAACAGUCUCAGUUCGGAUUGAAGUCUGCAACUCGACUUCAUGAAGUUGGAAUCGCUAGUAAUCGCGAAUCAGCAUGUCGCGGUGAAUACGUUCUCGGGGUUUGUACACACCGCCCGUCA
rnacentral:rRNA from 1 species